GGAUUAUGUGCUUCCAGACCACACUUGACAACCUAAAGAAUGUGGCUGAGUUGAACACUGUACUCUGGCUAUAUACAUCUUGAAAUUUCUGUUACCAGUGCAGAGUGCAUCAAAUGAUCUCAAUUCAAAACCACAGUGAAGUAAAAGAGAAAGAAAGACCUAAAGAAUGUGGCUGAGUUGAACACUGUACUCUGGCUAUGUACAUCUUGAAAUUUCUGUUACCAGUGCAGAGUGCAUCAAAUGAUCUCAAUUCAAAACUACAGUGAAGUAAAGAGAAAAGAAAGAUGAGACACGGAGAAAAAGACAUCUAAAUUGACCAAUAAGAAUAUUCUUUAUGAUCCAAAUUGUUUAUUAAUUUGAGGUUGAAUAAAAGGAAAUCCUAAUAUUAAAAAUGCAUAACAAAUAUUA